UUUUAAGGGCAUCUGGUGGAUGCCUUGGCACUGAGAGGCGAUGAAGGACGUAGCACGCUGCGAUAAGCCACGGGGAGAGGCGAGCACUCUUUGAUCCGUGGAUCUCCGAAUGGGGAAACCCCGCCCUUCAUGGGUGAUCGUCAACUGAAUUCAUAGGUUGGCGAGGCGAACCCGGCGAACUGAAACAUCUCAGUAGCCGGAGGAAAGGACAUCAACAGAGACUCCGCUAGUAGUGGCGAGCGAACGCGGACCAGGCCAGUGGUAGGUCGUCGAUUAGCAGAACAACCUGGAAAGGUUGGCCAGAGUGGGUGACAGCCCCGUAUGCGACAUGACGCGAUCUGCCCUCGAGUAAGGCGGGACACGUGUAAUCCUGUCUGAACGUGGGGGGACCACCCUCCAAGCCUAAGUACUCCUCAGUGACCGAUAGUGCACUAGUACCGUGAGGGAAAGGUGAAAAGCACCCCAAUGAGGGGAGUGAAACAGUUCCUGAAACCGGAUGCCUACAAGCAGUCGGAGCGCCUUCGUGGCGUGACGGCGUACCUCUUGUAUAAUGGGUCAGCGAGUUAGUCUCGGCAGCAAGCUUAAGCCGGUAGGUGUAGGCGUAGCGAAAGCGAGUCUUAAUAGGGCGAAUAAGUUGCCGGGAUUAGACCCGAAACCGGGUGAUCUAGCCAUGGGCAGGUUGAAGGUGCGGUAACACGCACUGGAGGACCGAACCCACGUCUGUUGAAAAAGACGGGGAUGACCUGUGGCUAGGGGUGAAAGGCCAAUCAAACUCGGAAAUAGCUGGUUCUCCGCGAAAUCUAUUGAGGUAGAGCGUCGGAUGUUUACGACCGGGGGUAGAGCACUGGAUGGGCUAGGGGGAAGCAAUUCUUACCAAACCUAACCAAACUCCGAAUACCGGUCAGUAUAGUCCGGCAGACAGACGGCGGGUGCUAAGGUCCGUCGUCGAGAGGGAAACAGCCCAGACCGACAUCUAAGGUCCCCAAGUCAUGGCUAAGUGGGAAAGGAUGUGGGAAGGCCAAGACAACCAGGAGGUUGGCUUAGAAGCAGCCAUCCUUUAAAGAAAGCGUAAUAGCUCACUGGUCUAGUUAAGCCGUCCUGCGCCGAAAAUGUAACGGGGCUCAAGCCAUGCACCGAAGAUUCGGGUGUGCCGCAAGGCACGCGGUAGCGGAGCGUUCCGUAAGCCGGUGAAGGUGAACCGUAAGGUUUGCUGGAGGUAUCGGAAGUGAGAAUGCUGACAUAAGUAGCGACAAACAGAGUGAGAAACUCUGUCGCCGAAAGUCCAAGGGUUCCUGCGCAAGGUUAAUCCACGCAGGGUGAGCCGGCCCCUAAGGCGAGGCCGAAAGGCGUAGUCGAUGGGAAUGAGGUUAAUAUUCCUCAGCCUGGCGGGUGUGACGAAGGACGGAAGCUGUCUGCCCUUAUUGGAUUGGGUGGGCAGCCUAGUACUUCCAGGAAAUAGCCCCGCCUUAUAGACCGUACCCCAAACCGACACAGGUGGACUGGUAGAGUAUACCAAGGCGCUUGAGAGAAUGGUGUUGAAGGAACUCGGCAAAUUACCCUCGUAACUUCGGGAUAAGAGGGCCCCGUUUUGGCGCAAGCCAGGGCGGGGGGCACAGACCAGGGGGUGGCGACUGUUUACUAAAAACACAGGGCUCUGCGAAGUCGACAAGACGACGUAUAGGGUCUGACGCCUGCCCGGUGCCGGAAGGUUAAAAGGAGGGGUGCAAGCUCUGAAUUGAAGCCCCGGUAAACGGCGGCCGUAACUAUAACGGUCCUAAGGUAGCGAAAUUCCUUGUCGGGUAAGUUCCGACCUGCACGAAUGGCGUAACGACUUCCCCGCUGUCUCCAACACCAACUCAGCGAAAUUGAAUUCUCCGUGAAGAUGCGGAGUACCCGCGGUUAGACGGAAAGACCCCGUGCACCUUUACUACAGCUUUGCAGUGGUAUUAGGGAUUGCGUGUGUAGGAUAGGCGGGAGCCUUUGAAGCAUGGUCGCCAGAUCGUGUGGAGGCACCCUUGAAAUACCGCCCUCUCGAUCUCUGAUAUCUAACUCGAUCCCGUGAACCCGGGAUGAGGACCCUGCAUGGCGGGUAGUUUGACUGGGGCGGUCGCCUCCCAAAGAGUAACGGAGGCGCGCGAUGGUGGGCUCAAGCUGGUCGGAAAUCAGCUGUUGAGUGCAAUGGCAUAAGCCCGCCUGACUGCGAGAGCGACAGUUCGAGCAGAGACGAAAGUCGGCCAUAGUGAUCCGGUGGUCCCGCGUGGAAGGGCCAUCGCUCAACGGAUAAAAGGUACGCCGGGGAUAACAGGCUGAUGACUCCCAAGAGUCCAUAUCGACGGAGUCGUUUGGCACCUCGAUGUCGGCUCAUCACAUCCUGGGGCUGGAGCAGGUCCCAAGGGUAUGGCUGUUCGCCAUUUAAAGUGGUACGUGAGCUGGGUUUAGAACGUCGUGAGACAGUUCGGUCCCUAUCUGCCGUGGGUGUUCGAGACUUGAGAGGAUCUGUCCCUAGUACGAGAGGACCGGGAUGGACGUACCUCUGGUGUACCGGUUGUGGCGCCAGCCGCAUCGCCGGGUAGCUAAGUACGGCCGGGAUAACCGCUGAAAGCAUCUAAGCGGGAAACCCCCCUCAAAACCAGGUCUCGCUCGAGAGCCGUGAUAGACCAUCACGUCGAUAGGCCAGGUGUGAAAGCGCGGUAACGCGUGCAGCUAACUGGUACUAAUCGCUCGAUCGGCUUCAUU
rnacentral:rRNA from 1 species